AUGACUCUAAAUACUAACAAUCGUCUCUUUGCUGUUAGGAUAUUCUUGGGUCAUGUUUCAGGUAUUGAGAAGCUGUACAGUUAUGGGGGAGCUCGAGUAUCUAUGAUUGGAGCUCAUAAAGUAUGGGGGAGUUAUUCUAAAUUCUUCGUUGCUUCCGUUCGGUCUCUGAUGAUUAAAGCGUCUUGAUCAAGAUGGACGUCAAGAAUUGGUGACUUGGUAUGUGUUCUAACUUGAGUGUUUUUGUAGGCAUGAUUUAUAAAUGCCGUGGUUUGGGUUUGUA
rnacentral:lncRNA from 1 species